rnacentral:tRNA from 1 species
GGGUGCAUGCGCCCCGGUGGGCGCCCCGGUCUUCAAAACCGGCGGCAGGCUGCGUGCCAGGCUGCGGUGGGUUCGACUCCCAUGCAUCCC